UUGUGAAAGAUCUGGAUCCGUAAAGCGAGUCAUCUACACGGGGUCUGUCACAUCUUCAUCUCCACUAAAGGAAGAUGGUACAGGUUCUAAAGACUUCAUUGAUGAAUCAUGUUGGACUCCUCUAGAUCUCGCAUUUGCACACUGCGAGGAGAAUGAGAAGGAUUAUACGACUUCGAAAACAUUAUCAGACAAAGAAAUAUUGAGCUAUAACAACCAAGAGGAUAAUAGAGGGAUUGAGGUGGUAAGCCUGGUCUGUGGCCAAGUGGGAGGGGAUGCACUGAUUCCACAU
rnacentral:misc_RNA from 1 species